CAUAGGUUAAUGAGGCGAACCGGGGGAACUGAAACAUCUAAGUACCCCGAGGAAAAGAAAUCAACCGAGAUUCCCCCAGUAGCGGCGAGCGAACGGGGAGGAGCCCAGAGCCUGAAUCAGCAUGUGUGUUAGUGGAAGCGUCUGGAAAGGCGCGCGAUACAGGGUGACAGCCCCGUACACAAAAGCGCAUGUGCUGUGAGCUCGAUGAGUAGGGCGGGACACGUGGUAUCCUGUCUGAAUAUGGGGGGACCAUCCUCCAAGGCUAAAUACUCCUGACUGACCGAUAGUGAACCAGUACCGUGAGGGAAAGGCGAAAAGAACCCCGGCGAGGGGAGUGAAAAAGAACCUGAAACCGUGUACGUACAAGCAGUGGGAGCACCCUUUGGGGUGUGACUGCGUACCUUUUGUAUAAUGGGUCAGCGACUUAUAUUCUGUAGCAAGGUUAACCGAAUAGGGGAGCCGGAGGGAAACCGAGUCUUAAC
rnacentral:rRNA from 1 species